rnacentral:rRNA from 1 species
ACUCAAAUGAAUUGACGGGGGCCCGCACAAGCGGUGGAGCAUGUGGUUUAAUUCGACGCAACGCGAAGAACCUUACCUGGGCUUGAACUGCAGUGGACCGGUCUAGAGAUAGGCCUUUUCGCAAGAACUGCUGCAGAGGUGCUGCAUGGCUGUCGUCAGCUCGUGUCGUGAGAUGUUGGGUUAAGUCCCGCAACGAGCGCAACCCUUACUGUUAGUUGCCAGCGCGUCAUGGCGGGAACUCUAGCAGGACUGCCCGGGUUAACCGGGAGGAAGGCGGGGAUGAUGUCAAGUCCUCAUGGCCCUUAUGUCCAGGGCUACACACGUGCUACAAUGGCAGAUACAAACCGUUGCAAAGCCGCGAGGUGGAGCUAAUCGGAGAAAGUCUGCCUCAGUUCGGAUUGCAGUCUGCAACUCGACUGCAUGAAGGUGGAAUCGCUAGUAAUCGUGUAUCAGAAUGAUACGGUGAAUACGUUCCCGGGCCUUGUACACACCGCCCGU